CCUACGGGAGGCAGCAGUGGGGAAUAUUGCACAAUGGGGGAAACCCUGAUGCAGCGACGCCGCGUGAGUGAAGAAGGCAUUCGUUAUGUAAAGCUCUUUCAGCGGGGAAGAAAGUGACGGUACCUGAGUCAGAAGCGCCGGCUAACUACGUCCCAGCAGCCGCGGGAAUACGUGGGGGGAAAGCGUUCUCCGGAUUUACUGGGGGUAAAGGGAGCGUAGACGGCAGUGCAAGUCUGGUGUGAAAGGCGGGGGCUCAACCCCCGGACUGCACUGGAAACUGUCCGGCUGGAGUGCAGGAGAGGUAAGUGGAAUUCGUAGUGUAGCGGUGAAAUGCGUAGAUAUUAGGAGGAACACCGGUGGCGAAGGCGGCUUACUGGACUGUAACUGACGUUGAGGCUCGAAAGCGUGGGGAGCAAACAGGAUUAGAUACCCGAGUAGUC
rnacentral:rRNA from 1 species